rnacentral:sRNA from 1 species
GCACCUCAUAAAACGGGUGUCGGGAUUCUCACCCCGCUGACAAUCGAGGCGAUACGGACGCGCCAGCGUCUUUUUU